GAUGAACGCUGGCGGCGUGCCUAAUACAUGCAAGUCGAGCGAACAGAUGAGGAGCUUGCUCCUCUGACGUUAGCGGCGGACGGGUGAGUAACACGUGGAUAACCUACCUAUAAGACUGGGAUAACUUCGGGAAACCGGAGCUAAUACCGGAGAAUAUAUUGAACCGCAUGGUUCAAUAGUGAAAGACGGUUUUGCUGUCACUUAUAGAUGGAUCCGCGCCGCAUUAGCUAGUUGGUAAGGUAACGGCUUACCAAGGCAACGAUGCGUAGCCGACCUGAGAGGGUGAUCGGCCACACUGGAACUGAGACACGGUCCAGACUCCUACGGGAGGCCGCAGUAGGGAAUCUUCCGCAAUGGGCGAAAGCUUGACGGAGCAACGCCGCGUGAGUGAUGAAGGUCUUCGGAUCGUAAAACUCUGUUAUUAGGGAAGAACAAAUGUGUAAGUAACUAUGCACGUCUUGACGGUACCUAAUCAGAAAGCCACGGCUAACUACGUG
rnacentral:rRNA from 1 species